rnacentral:rRNA from 1 species
CCUACGGGAGGCAGCAGUAGGGAAUUUUGCUCAAUGGGGGAAACCCUGAAGCAGCAACGCCGCGUGGAGGAUGAAGGUUUUCGGAUUGUAAACUCCUUUUGUUAGAGAAGAUAAUGACGGUAUCUAACGAAUAAGCACCGGCUAACUCCGUGCCAGCAGCCGCGGGAAUACGGAGGGUGCAAGCGUUACUCUGAAUCACUGGGCGUAAAGAGCGCGUAGGCGGGAUAGCAAGUCAGAUGUGAAAUCCUAUGGCUUAACCAUAGAACUGCAUUUGAAACUGUUAUUCUAGAGUAUGGGAGAGGUAGGUGGAAUUCUUGGUGUAGGGGUAAAAUCCGUAGAGAUCAAGAGGAAUACUCAUUGCGAAGGCGACCUGCUAGAACAUAACUGACGCUGAUGCGCGAAAGCGUGGGGAGCAAACAGGAUUAGAUACCCCUGUAGUC